AGGCUUCUAAAACCCAGGCCUGAUUCAGUCUGGCUUCAUUUUACUGUAGUCAUGAGGCUUCUAAAAACCCAGGCCUGAUUCAGUCUGGCUUCAUUUUACUGUAGUCAUGAGGCUUCUAAAAACCCAGGCCUGAUUCAGUCUGGCUUCAUUUUACUGUAGUCAUGAGACUUCUAAAAACCCAGGCCUGAUUCAGUCUGGCUUCAUUUUACUGUAGUCAUGAGGCUUCUAAAAACCCAGGCCUGAUUCAGUCUGGCUUCAUUUUACUGUAGUCAUGAGGCUUCUAAAAACCCAGGCCUGAUUCAGUCUGGCUUCAUUUUACUGUAGUCAUGAGACUUCUAAAAACCCAGGCCUGAUUCAGUCUGGCUUCAUUUUACUGUAGUCAUGAGGCUUUUAAAAACCCAGGCCUGAUUCAGAGUCUGGCUUCAUUUUACUGUAGUCAUGAGGCUUCUAAAAACCCAGGCCUGAUUCAGUCUGGCUUCAUUUUACUGUAGUCAUGAGGCUUCUAAAAACCCAGGCCUGAUUCAGUCUGGCUUCAUUUUACUGUAGUCAUGAGGCUUCUAAAAACCCAGGCCUGAUUCAGUCUGGCUUCAUUUUACUGUAGUCAUGAGGCUUCUAAAAACCCAGGCCUGAUUCAGUCUGGCUUCAUUUUACUGUAGUCAUGAGGAUCCUGAGUGGCGCAGCGGUCUAAGGCACUGUGUCUCAGUGCUUGAGGCGUCACUACAGGCACCCUGGUUCAAAUCCAGGCUGUAUCACAACCGGCUGUGAUUUGGAGUACCAUAGGGUGGUGCACAAUUGGCCCAGUAUCGUCCUGGUUUAGGGUUUGACCGGUGUAGGCUGUCAUUGUAAAUAAGGAUUUGUUCUUAACUGACUUGCCUGGUUAAAUAAAGGUCAUUAAAAAAGAACAGUCACAUUUGAGUACAACUCUGCUGCAGUCACAAUGAUCAGGACAGAAAUAACACUGUGCCUCCAGACAUGACUAAAUAAUGACAUUCUGUUUCAGAUUUUGGAGGCCAUGGCAAGAUGACGCAGAGAUGGGAACACAGAAGAAGAUGUGAUUGGUCUGCUUGUUUAGCGAUAUCCAAUUGCGAUCCAAUUCCGAUCUUGUCUCAUCGCUGCAUCUUCCCAACGGGCUCGGGAGAGGCGAAGGUCGAGUCAUGUGUCCUCCGAAACAUGACCCGCCAAACCACGCCUCUUAACACCCGCCCGUUUAACCUCGGAAGCCAAGUGCACCAAUGUGUCAGAGGAAAAACCGUUGAACUGACGACCGGAGUCAGCCUGGAGGCGCCCGGCCAACCACAAGGAGUUGCGAUACACUGCGCCACACUCUGAGGCCUCAGGAACAAUUAUUUUGAUAUAUGUUUUUACUGAACUUGAAAAGUAUUUUGUAUAAUUCUGUAAAAUGAAUCAGACUUAAAUGAUUUUUAAUACCAUGAGGAAGUCAAACCCAAUGAGUCCCAUCGGGACACUGGUGUGUUUUGGACUUUUAACCCCUGUUAAACAUUGUGAGAAAAAAAUGUAUGUACUUACAGCAUUCAUAUAAAUUCAUUAUUAUUAGGUUCUUGCUUGGUUGACUUUUUUAAAUUUGUUGCCAUUUGUCAAUAAAAGCUCAUGAAUGCCAA